UACCAAUGCUGAUUGCCUUGGUGGGCUA
rnacentral:sRNA from 1 species